CCAAAUUUGGUACCCGAAAGCUACACGGUGCUCAUAACCCUGAAGGACCACAAGCUAACCCAUGACUGAUAUCUGUACCUGAACACUGCAUAAUAUACUAUAUAAAUGCAGAAAUAAAGCCUGUAAGGUUUAAAACUGAGACAUAAUAUCUGUUAAAAUAUAGCAUCUGGAUGGGGUAUGAAAUACCAAAAUAACUAGAACAAUUGUCUGAACAUGCUAGUCUGAAAGACUCUAAACUGUCUGAAUAAGGAGUUGAUAGGACAUGUCCCCAACUAACUCUAACUACUGAAAUAAAUUAAUUAAUGAGAUAAUAAAGUAAUGGUCAUGUCCUUGAAGGAUGAGGACUUAUUACUAACUCUGACUACUGAGACUGGAAUGCUAUUAAUGCUCUGGAGCUCAUGCUUCUGAACCUAUGGUAUAAAAUACCAUAGUGCAAAUGCGUCAGUACGUUUGAAUAUACUAGUAUGCAUGUGAGGUAGGAUGAAUGCAAAAGGGUUCACAUACAUGAACUAUACUAACUGACUGUAUAACAUGAAUAUGGGAAUACAUGCAUGAAUACAUAAUAACUGUAACUGAGUUCAUGAUAACAUGAUUACUGUGUCUGGGUACUGAUAACAUGAGAUACUGAUAUAUGUAUAACUGAAAUAACUGAUACUAAGCGACUGUAUCUGACAGUCUAGGUUUUGAUGAAACUAGCUAAGUUCCAUACUGUUCUGAAUUGACUGUAUCUGGCAAUCCUGAAUCCUGUAGAACUAUAUGAGUUCUACUACUGAUACUGAAUGACUAUAUCUGACAGUCGUGAUUCUGUACUAAAACUGUGAGAAAUAGUCAUCUAACUGACAUGCCCCAAAUAAUGCAUUAUAGCUGAGUUGGGGUCCAAUCUGUAACCCCAAUUAGAAGGGUGUCAAUACCGCACCACUGGUAAGGACACGCUGUGGGUGAACCUCAUCUGACAGUGUCCCCAAAAGAGAAUGGUGGGACCCUUAUCUAAAAGUAUUUAUUCACCUCAUCAACCCUUAUCUGACAGUGUUGAUGUCUCAACCUAUGCUGGCUAUAUAGUUCUGGAAUGCAAGGAUGACUUCCAAGAAUCACACCCCCAUCUGACAGUGUGAGUCCCUAUCCUUGGGUUCACUCAGUGCUAAUUCCUACUCCCAUCUGAAUAGACACUGAACAUGAUUACUGAACUGAACUAGACUGAAUUAACUAAGUUUCAUUGACUGACUGAAUAAUACUGAGAUUUACUGUAGCACUAAGCUUUCUUGAGUCACAAGACUGACUGAGUUCUAUGGAUCAUUUCUUGACGGAGGGUAUCAUGAAAACAUGACAUUAACUCUAGGCACACAACUAUAUUUUUUGGGAACAAGUACCCCUAGGACUCAAUGCGAAGAUACUGACAAAACAUGACUUUCUUGAAUACAUGACCAACAUCACAAUCCAUAAUACAAUGAGUUGGAGAUUUCAUUACGUAGAAGUUCUAAUGCACCACAAUGGCUACACAUAUAUCCAUAAUUCAUUAACUAAGACAUUUCAUCAAACACUAAACAUGCAUAAACUUGUACAAGAAUGGGGAUUUCACAUUAUCAUACUAGUAUGACACUUUUCCUUCAUAUAGGCAUUUAAUCAAACACAUAGUAAGCACAGUAUAUGUAGACAACAUCAUGAUUCAAUUCUAAUUUCACCAUCCAAGGGUUUAAUCAUGGGUUCAUAUGAAUCUACACCUAUAAUAAUUAAUUUCAAUUAAAAUUUAUAACCAAACAUGGAUUAGAAUUCAAUUUGUUAUUAUCAACAUGAACAAAAGCGAACCCAACAUGGAAAUCAUAAAAAUCCAUACUAGGGUCAAUCAUUGGAAUAUGUAAUUUCAAACUUUAAUCAAAACCCCACAACGUCAUGAACAUGAAUUUUAAUUCUAUUUAAAUCAUGAACAUUCAUAAAUACACAAAUCUUAUAUUUUGAAAAGAGAUUCUUGAGCUUCAUGGGUGAAAGGGACCCAUGAAUCAACAUAUGACAUACCUGGGUUGUGAGUUUCUUGAAGUUCUUGGACUUGAAGAGCUUGAAUAUCUUAGUUUCUUGAAGAAGAUUUGGAUCUUUUUCUUGGGGAUUAUCUUUAUGAGAAAAUCCUAAUUUGAUGUUCUAGAUGGAUAAUGAACUUAUGAGCCUUGGUCUAAUAUAAUUAGGGGUUAAAACGGGUGGGAAAGACCCAAAUACCCUUUUAAAAAUGACUUUAAAAUAACUAAAUAAACUAUGCAACGGUCCAUCACUGGGUCAACGGUCCGUCAGUCCUGAUCGUCGCACCUGAGCAGAAUAGGGGUUCACUGCCUCUGCUGCGAUGGCUUGGGCGACGGUCCGUCGCUAGAUCGAUGGUCCAUCGGCCUGAGACAUUUCCCUUAGGCAGAAGAUGGUCUCAGUGCCUCUGCUAUGACGGCUUGGGAGAUGGUCCAUCGCUAGCUCGACUCAUCGUCGCACCUGGGCAGUUUUGACUGCUUUCUGUAAAUGACCAUAACUUUCUACCCCGAUACCGGAUUUGGACGAAAUUGGUGUCUUUAGAAAGAUAAUUCAAUUUACCACAUGACAAAAAUUGAAAAUCUUAAAAAUUCCACGUAUAUAAAAGUGGAUUCAUCUUUCAAAGUAAGUUUCUAAUAUUCUUGAGACGAUUUCAAGCUAAGUAGAAGUACGGGGUAUUACACUCUUGUUCCUUUGCCUUAAAUUAUACAAUUUUUCAAGGAGCUAAUGCCUAUAAGUCUCGGGCAAGUACCUUUGCCACAUAAGGUUCUUCAACCGAAACCAAGGAGAAGGUUUUCCCCCAAUCACCUCAUUCCCAAACCGUUUAGCAUACCCUUCGAAGUGAGAUAUAGCAUAACAACUUUUCUUUUCUUCGGUGAGAUCAUUAAGUUAGAAGAUAUUGUCACAAGACAACUCCCAUGCAAGGUAGGCUUCGGGAUCACUAUCACCUUUGAAAAUAGGAAGGCUCACUUCGAUGGAAUUGAGACCUACAUCUCGGUUUGGGUGGCCAUCUCUCACCUCUCGGCCUAACUCCCCAUGUAUACCCCUCAUUAUUUAUUCCCUCAAGUAAACAUCAUCAUACGGCCCAUAACCAUCAUGUUUUCCUCCCCUACCAUUGGAUGGGUCUAUUUGGGGUAAUUGGAGCUUAUAGUGGCGGGAGUGGAUUUGGAUAGUGAGGUCUUUGGUCAAGUGGAGUUUGGAUGGCAAGCCCUUUUUGUUAGACUUGGUGGAGUAGAGGAUGAAUUGGUUUAUCUUGUUCUCGGUUUCGGGAUUAAAGAUUGGUUUGAUUUGUGGCAAUUGGUGGAUAUAGUAUUUGGUGCAAGGUCUUGGGAGUAUUAGUUGGGGAAAUGUUUUGAGGGGUGGAAGGUCGACUCCUUUGGAUUUACACACGUUCUAAUCUCCCACUCAUUGAUUCCAUAUCCGUAUCUAAUUUCUCAAGACCCACAUUCAACCUAGCCACAUCUCGGGACAUAGUUUCAAGGCGAGCCAAAAUGAGAUUAAUGGCAUUAUUGUCCAUUGUAUGAACAUUUUAAGCCUUGGGUUCCAUUGUGGUGGUACCAAAAAUAACCUUUCAAGUUACAGUCCAAUGAAGACACCAAAUCAAUCCACAACGUCACACAUAACAAUACAAUACAAAACCUACAAUACAAAACACACGUUAGUUCAAAAUAACAUCGCUUCACUCUCACACACUUUGUGCUCUCACACUUGAUUUCACAAAUGUUUGCAAGCUUGAUUGUAUCCCGUGCUUGAGAUGUUAAGAGGUGAACGAAUUGUUCACAACGACUCAAAAGAAUAAAGGACACAAAGGAACGUUAACUCGAAGGAUGGUUUCAAGACUAACUUAUAAUCUAGGACUAGCUUGUAAUAGAAUCAACAAGCGAGACUAAAGAGACAACAAAAUGAAACUAGAAGAUCAAAAUUUUGAGCUUAAAAUUAUCGUGUGAACAGUAAUUUGAUGAUGUGUCACUCUCUAAUUGGCCGUGGGUUCAACAAAUUUUAAUUAUCAAUUUGAUGAUUUGGUCAUUCUUAAUUUGGAAUGGAUGAAAUUGGUUUUGGAGGAAAAGUGUAAGUGUUAUAACCUUUUUCAAUUUCAAUCUUCAAAAAGGUGUGACUUUGACUUGUACAAUUCCCACAAAACAAGACCGAGAAAUAUGGAAAAGUGGUUGAAAAGUUAUUGUCAAGUCAAGAGUGAUGUGAACUAGUCCUUUCACCAACAAAUAUUAUAACUUGUCUUUCACCUUUUGUAGAUCUAAAGUUCACUUUUCUUGCUUUAACAAAAGAUUAAAGGAUGAAGAACAACAAGAACUCAUAACAACCUCCAAGAACAAAAACAAGAUCCACACAUCCAAGAGCUAAUCUGCCACAACAAACCACAAAAUUUUGGCCUAGGUCUUUGUUCACAGCACAACUUUAACAAGUUUAAGUUCAAAUUUUGACCAAGACUAAACAAGAACACUACAAACUUCUCAGCCAAGAACAAGAAAAAGAACACAACACGGGCAGAUUGCACUUUUUCUGAAAUUUUCAGUUUUUUUUUCAAUAAUUUUUUUUCCUAACAAGCAAGCCCAAGAUUGAUCUUGUAGGAACAAGAUGAAGCCAUGCUCUGAUACCAAAUGAUACAAGAAUAACCCAAGAAAGACACAAACACACUCCCAAAAUAGUCCACAAACUCAAUGAGCCGAGGACCCUUUAGGAGACCACUCUCGGAUUCACUAAAUAGAACAAAAAGAAGGGAUUUCAAGGUGUUUAUCACACCAAAUCAGCCGACCAAACUAUUGUAGCAACAAUAUGAAGAUGAACAACACAAUAUGAUAACAGCAACAAAAGUCACGGCUUGAGUUUACAAGAAACAAAAACUACACGAGAUACAAGAUUACAAUAAGAUAAAGAUAGAUAGAUAGACAAAUAAAGAUAUAAGAUUAAGAACCCAAGAACAUGUUAAGCUCUUGGACCCUUAACACUACACACUUCAAUCACUUAACUCUUACAAAGACACAAGAGAAGGGAUCACCUCUCAAGCACCCAAGUUUCUAAUCAAAUGCAAACACAAGUGUAACCUUACAUGUCUAAGCCCUAGUUUCGGUUUGGGACCUCUCUCUCUCUCACAAGAGAAGUGUUCUUCAAUAUCUUAAAACAAUCAAAGAAAUAAACCCUAUAAUGUUCUAUUUAUACUACAUUACAAUAAUAGAUAAAAUGACAAAAGAUCCCUUUAGGGACCAGUCUUCAAAAAUACUCAAAAGUGUCAUGAUCAUGAUCAUACUUGUAUCAAAUUAUCAAUCUUAGACCAAUAAAUUUCUAGACUACAUUAUUAUCUCUAAUAUGACUAGUGAGAAUUCAUAAAGCAGACACCGAGAGUUGAUUUUUUAUACUGAAACUCAACUAUUCAGAAAGUCACUUUUUUUUGUUUUGUUACAGAAAAACCACUCCGAUAUUAUUUUCAUUUCACGUAUAAAGUCACUCAACUUUAUUUCUGGUUGAUCGGGUAAAAGAUCAAUCCCAAAGUUUAUCUCCCUACUAGGAGAAAUUCCACGAAGGUCAUGUGGAAAGAAAUUGGGAAACUCAUUAACCACGGGAACAUACUGUAAAUAGGGGCUUUUAGAGUUAGAAUCUUUGACUCAGAUCAAAUGAUACAGACACCCUUUAGAUAUCAAUUUCCGGGUUCUAAGAAAAGAAAAAAAACUUAUCCUUAGGUGCUAGUGAACUAUCUUCCCAUUCUAACUAGUGAACUAUCUUCCCAUUCUAACUAGUGAACUAUCUUCCCAUUCUAUCACUGGUUCAUUAGGAAAAUUAAAAGUGACCUUGCUAGUUCUACAGUGUAGGGUAGCAUAGCACGAGUGAAUUCAAUCCAUUCUCAAGAUACAUCAACAUCCACCAUAUCAAGCUCUAUCAGAUCUACCACAGUGUCCCGAUGAAAGAUAGCACAACACAAGCCCUAUAAAUUCUCCUAGCAAUAAUGGACUCACCCAUCGGGGUAGAAAUUGCGAAGGGGUCAAGAAUAUUUUUGGGACCAAAACCAAAGUGUACGGCCACAUAAGUAGUCAUAUAAAAUUGGAUGGGACCGGGAUCAAGCAAUAUCUAAACAUCACGGAGAAAAGUUGUAACAUACACGUGACAACAUCUCGAAAUGCCUCAAAAUCUUGAUGAGUAGAUAGUGCAUACAGACGAUUACAACCAUUUUCCAUCCCUGAAGUAGCAUCUUUCGCAGUAGGAGUUGAAGAAGUAGCAACCGGGUCUUCUUAUCCCUGAAGUAGCAUCCUUCGCAGUAGGAGCUGAAGAAGUAGAACUUGCAAAAACUUCUACAUCAUCAAUAUAUACUAGAGAUAAAGUUGAGUGACUUUAUACGUGAAAUGAAAACAAUAUCGAAGUGACUUUUUUUUUGUAACAAAAUAAAGAAAAGUGACUUUUUGAAUAGUUGAGUUACAGUAUGAGAAAUCAAUUCUCGGCAUCUGCUUUAUGAAUUCUCAUUAGUCGUAUUAGAGAUAAUAACUUAGUCUAGAAAUUUAUUGGUCUAAGAUUG
rnacentral:lncRNA from 1 species